UGCAAACUUGACAAAGAAAAAGCGAUUAAAUUCUUUUUGAAAUUGAUUGUAGGUAUCAGAUUUCAUCAUAUUUCAGUCAUGUAUAUAUAUCAUUGCUAUUUUUUCUCAAAGGCGAUAUGUGAAAAUGACUUAUCUUAGCAUAUGCUAGUGAUAAAAAAAGUUUUCAGCUGAAAAUUAAAGGUUUGUUUUAGGAAUAUAGCAUUAUAUACAAAAAAUUUUCAAGAUCGCAAAUUUGUAUAAACUUUAAUUGAAAGAUGGAAACACCAUACGUUGGAGCUUGUAACAGAAUAAGCAUGUUUACUUCCAUGUGUGAUCGACACACAAAUAUACCGAUUGAGUUCUUUAUUUGUGAGAAAUAAAAUAAUAAACUUUAUCCAACAUUCCACAACGUGGUUAAAGUCGAUGGUAGUGAACAAUAUGAAGCAAGAAAUAUAAGAAACACAAAAAUUCAGGAAAUAUUUUCACGGAAUCACAUUCUGACAAUACAUUUGAACUAUUAAUCAUGAACUCAUAUUACAGUAUCUGAUGACACUGCUCAGUAUCUUAUCCUGUAGUUGCGGAAAAUGUCGGUGAAAUUCAACUACCAUUUUGCGACAAAGUAGAACAUUGAUGAAAGCAUGUAUUAUAAACACUAUCAACAAAAUCUGAAACAUUUGCUCCUGCCUUAACUUGGACGACUUGCAGAACAAUACGUAUUCUUCAUUCGUGUGUACUCUGAGCGAACAACGAAAUUAGGAAAAUGAAUUAAUGUAUAAAAUAGCCUACUAGUUAUAAAGAUUAACACCUUCAGCUGACUAUUUCCAACGGAGAAUAUUUCUGCCAUGUCAUUCUCGUUAAUAAAAACUGCAAAAUCGGCUGUUAUUCAAGAAACCCAAUUGUAUUAAACAGACAUGUAACAUUACAAAGGAAACGAGACGGUUAAUGUGGUAUUACAAAAAUCUGUACGCUCCAGCCGAGGAUUAAUCCUGGAUUGAAAGACUAAAUGUGAAUAAUUAUUGUAUUCGUUGGAGAAAUAUAAAACAUCUGCUACAACUAUCAAGUGUUGGUUCCUGAUUUACAUGUUUAUAACCAGCCGAAUGCAAAUGUUUACUUUAUGGAAAGAAUUAAAGUUUUAUUACGGUGCAACACUUGUCAUUAAUGGCACUAACUAUAGAUCAUCUAUGUAUGCUUGUUUGAAAUACGGAAAAUGGCAGUCUUACUCCCGCAGUUUCAAACGUUUCCAUAUCAGGUGCUUCGAAAGCUUGAAAAAACAUCCUUGUCGCAAAACCGUCUUAGAAUCCGUAUUAAACUAUUGCGGUUAUGAGAGUUUUUAAAAAUAUAUGGUAUGAUCGGCUGAAAUGAAAACAAUCAUUCACAUGCGACUAUGACUAUGUGUACACGAAUGUGCAUGGAUCAAUUGUGGUGUUGCUUGUACAAAUUAAAGAAAUUUCUCAACGAAAACCCAAUAUCAGAAGAACUACAAUUAGGACUCUGCAAAAGUGUACGAAAAGAAUUUUUACAGUCCACAAGGCAGUACAAGGACGUUGUCGGAAAGUUGGUAAAGGUAGAUACUGAGAACAUAUUAUGCAUAUAUCAAAUUUAAAUUAAAUUUUAGAAACGUUUUCUUGUAAUAAUUGUUUAACAUUCUACCAUUUUAUCGUCUUAAAUAGUGAAUAUUACUAGAAUAAAUUACGAGAGAUGUGUUAGAAUUUUCAAGAGCUGCUGAAGCUUUAAGAUAUCUUGUAAAACAAAGUGUUGGUGGGAUUUUUGUUAAAUAAUCGUUGCCAUCUUCAAAGAUGUGCACAACGUUCAACCAAAAGUGUUUCAAAAGUGAAGUUUUGUGUGCGUUCAGCCAUUCGUCUCAUACCUCUGAUAUUCUGACGCCUCUCAAACAAUAUAUUAUUUUAUAUAAUAUUAUAUUCUAAUGUCUUUCAAUAUAUAUCUUAAGAUCUACGACGUCGACGCCAGCUAGGACGUCAGGGCUAAGCAGAGGACUGGGACUACAUUAGGACGACAUCCUAGUCCCAGUCCUCUGCAUAGCCCUGACGUCCAAGCUGACGUCGACGUCCUAGAUCUUAAGCUAUCUAAUGUUAGAAGUUAAUAUAAAUGUUAUGAAAAUCGAAAUGAAAAAAAUAACUUAGUUCGUAUGUGUAAACGAUAGAACGUGCUUGUAGUUGUAAUGCACGUUUGAA
rnacentral:lncRNA from 1 species